rnacentral:rRNA from 1 species
GUGAGGAAUUUUCCGCAAUGGGCGAAAGCCUGACGGAGCAAUGCCGCGUGAAGGAUGAAGGCCUAUGGGUUGUAAACUUCUUUUCUCAGAAAAGAAUUAUGACGGUAUCUGAGGAAUAAGCAUCGGCUAACUCUGUGCCAGCAGCCGCGGUAAGACAGAGGAUGCAAGCGUUAUCCGGAAUGAUUGGGCGUAAAGCGUAUGUAGGUUGUUUAAAAAGUAUUCUGUUAAAGAUUAGGGCUUAACCCUAGAUAGGCAGAAUAAACUUUUAAGCUAGAGUUUGGUAGAGGCAGAGGGAAUUCCCGGUGGAGCGGUGAAAUGCGUAGAUAUCGGGAGGAACACCAAAGGCGAAGGCACUCUGCUGGGCCAAUACUAACACUGAGAGACGAAAGCGAGGGGAGCAAAUGGGAUUAGAUACCCUAGUAGUCC